rnacentral:sRNA from 1 species
UGCGGAGGAUCAUUAUUGAAAUAACCUGAUGGGUUGUUGCUGGUUCUCUAGGGAGCAUGUGCACGCCUUGUCAUCUUUAUAUCUCCACCUGUGCACUUUUUGUAGACCCUUUCAGGUCUAUGUUGCUUCNUUUACCCCAAUGUAUGUUAAUANAAUGUUGUGCCUAUUUAAUAUAUACAACUUUCAGCAACGGAUCUCUUGGCUCUCGCAUCGAUGAANAACGCAGCGAAAUGCGAUAAGUAAUGUGAAUUGCAGAAUUCAGUGAAUCAUCGAAUCUUUGAACGCACCUUGCGCUCCUUGGUAUUCCGAGGAGCAUGCCUGUUUGAGUGUCAUUAAUAUAUAAAUCAAACUUUCUCUUGUUUGAGAGUGGUUUGGAUGUGGGGGUUUGCUGGUGGCCUCUUAGAGGUUUCAGCUCCUCUGAAAUGCAUUANCANAACAAACCUUGUUCAUUGGUGUGAUAACUAUCUACGCCGUUGAAUGUGAGGGGGCAGUUCAGCUUUCUAACAGUCUUUGGACAAUUCUUCAUUAAUGUGACCUCAAAUCAGGUAGGACUACCCGCUGAACUUAAGCAUAUCAAUAAGCGGAGGA